UACGAAGGGGGCUAGCGUUGCUCGGAAUCACUGGGCGUAAAGCGCACGUAGGCCGAUUGUUAAGUCAGGGGUGAAAUCCUGGAGCUCAACUCCAGAACUGCCCUUGAUACUGACGGUCUUGAGUCGGGAGAGGUGAGUGGAACUGCGAGUGUAGAGGUGAAAUUCGUAGAUAUUCGCAAGAACACCAGUGGCGAAGGCGGCUCACUGGCCCGAUACGUGACGCU
rnacentral:rRNA from 1 species